CAGACACUCCACCUUUCUCUACAAACCCUAACCCUAACCUUCAUUUCAUCCACCGCUCCUCCACCGCUCCUCCACGACUCCUCCAUCGUUGACGACAUCAGAUCCGACACCAGAUCCGACACAACAUCGAUUUCUAUGGCUUCUUUUCCCAGUGGCUUCAAGAUCCAACACUAUCUCAGUAGAUCCGACACUAUUUCAGUAGAUCCGACACCAGAUCUACUGGUUUGACUGUAGGAUCUUCCUUUUGGUUGUGGGUUCGUCGUCAACGAUGGUGCUUGUGGGUGGAAGAUCUGGCAAGAUCUAUGGUUUAUUUGUAGUAGAUCUGUUCUUUAUGAGAAAGGAAAAGAGAAAUGGCAUUUAUACUAUGGAAGUGGAAUGAGGUCAUCCAUGUUCAAAGUGGAAUGCCAUUUCACCUUCUUCUUC